AGUCCUUUCCUUGCUCACCGCCGACAAAGUGGUUGGGGCAGGAAGGCGAGGUCAGUGCGAAUGGAGGGCGCCCAACUUCGGUGUUGCAGUUGACUCUGUGCUCGGGCUCUGCCCUCCACUAGCCCUAGAGUCUUGGGCAGCAGGAUUGAGAAAUAUAUAUAUUUCAGGUUUGCCGCGGCUGGGCGGUAGGAGACAGGGACUUAAAAGCCCAGGAUUAGAGUCGGUGCAGGGCCCAUUCUUUUUCUAGGAAAGGGGUUAACAUCCUUGAACGUCCCCAGACAAGCGUCUUAAAGCAUUGAACCUAGAAUAGGGAUUAACUGAAACUAGGCUCGUUGGUAAGCGCCAGGGGCUUGCAGUUGAGCUCGGAACAAAAUAGUGACCUACUGCUCUAAACCCCCAACUUGCGUGGGUCUGCAAUUUUUUAGCACAAGGAGAGCCUUUUAAAGACCUGGUUCUUCAAGGAAAGAAUGCAGGUAGUGUGGUUGGGGGUUCUGUUUACAUUUUCACCCGGAGGCAAACCCCGAAUGUGUAAAUACUGGUAGUUCAAUUCUCUGACAUUUGAUACGUUUUUGAAAAGUCUGUUUAUAAAAACACAUUUAGGCCUUGGGAGCAGGUAGACAAAGUAAGAUUGCACUGGGGCUGGGAACAUAUAAAAAUUCAGGGAAAUUAGUUGGUUGGCUGCUUUAAGACCCAAAGGGAGUUUUGGGAAUUGAAGGGAGGAAGAAGAGUCCAGAGGAGGGCUGAGUUAGGGAUUGAGAUGCUCUGUCCACCAGAGACCAGCGGUGAGUGGCCUCACUUUUGAAAGCUUCAGAACUUGCCACAUUUAGCUUUUCUCAUGCUUUUAAUUGAAACAAACAAACAAACAAAAAUGAAUGAAUUACCUCGUGGCUCCAGAUAGCAUUGCAAGUGGUAAAGGAAAUGGACAACAUGGUACAGAAAAAAGAAAUCAUAAAAGAUGCUAAUCUGAACAUCAGUUCUCACUCACAGUGUCAUUAUCAGUUAACUGCUGUGGUCCAAGGGCCUAAGACUUGAUGUGGCUCAGAAACCCAAAUCCAGAGGUCACUGCCUUAGAAAGCUGGCUUGAUGAGAGGGGACAAAUGGAUGAACCCUAGUGGUGUCCCCAACUGUAGUAACUGACUCAGGGAGGCCAGGCUGGCCCUGACUGGUUGAGCUCUACCCUAAAUGCACAAACGCAUCCACUUUUCUCUUGCAGUGUCCUUUGGCCUGUUUUGUUCCAGGUUUUCCAGGAUACUGGGUUAGCCUGCUCCUUUGGGAAGUUGUGAAGCAAGGAUGCCAUCUCAAGUUUGCCCUCAAUUUAGGUGUCCUGGGCAUCCUGGUGGUAGUGAUGGAGGUGUUGGCAGUGGUGGCAAUGAAGGAGAGGGUGGUGUUGGUGAUGAGAGGGAAAGUGGGAGAAGAAAGGGAGAAAGGCACAGUCCCUGACAUCGAUGUCAGCAUGGGGACCCCACUCCUGGGCUGCACUAGUGUAGCUGCUGAUGCACAUGUUGUAAGUACUCAAAGGCCCAGGGAACUGGCUUGCUGGGGGCUCCUCUGGGUGCCUGUGGAGGAAUCUUAGCUAGGAGUGCUUCUCUGCCUCUCCUCAGAGGCUGAGGGCUGAGCCAAAACCGGCCUUACUCGUGUCCAGAAACUGCUUCACAAGGAGGCAGCCCAGGUUUGGGUGAGUGUUUGGGAUUCUGUACCUUUGUUGUAGCUGAUGGUGUACCUACUGUACUGCACAUGUCAACUGCCUUCAGCCAAAUAGACAGAAUCUGGUUCAAGCAUUUAUUUUGCUCCUCAUGUCUCUUGUCUCUUUGCCGUCACUGCUACUUCUUUCUCUGGAAAAAGACGGAAAGAGCAGCAGAGAGGCUGAACAUGGCCAUGCAAACAUUUUGGUCUUGUGAGAUAUUAUUAUACUUGAAAAAAUCAAUCUGGUUUAAACUAAUUUUAAAAAAAUCUUUAGUUAGGUUUUAGGGAAAAUACAGAUUGUCUCAGGGUGUUUAUUAUUUCAAAGGCAAGGGCAGUUUAUAUCCUCUGUUUUGCUCAUAAGAACCCAAAAUAAACUGGACCCAAAAAGAAUCAGGCCAGAGGGUCAUAAAUGCACAUUUUAUGUUCAUGGGAAUUAUGGCUCAAUUCUCAUCAUCGUCUUUCAAAUCUUGUUUCACCUUGUUUUUCUAACCAACAUAGUGGAAGUGACUCUGACCGUUCCCUUAAGAAUCUUUAAUGCUCUUACAUGAGAUGAGCCUCAGAACAAGCUAAGAACCAUCGAAAGAACAUCAAGCCUGGAAGGUGACAGAAGGAGCAAUGUGUUCUUGAAGAUGUCACCUCAGCCCACCUGCUCCAAGGACAGUGCUUCUUGCGACACUCUGAUAGCUCUGCAUUCUUUUCUGUACCAGGAAGGCACAGAUCAUUCAUGGGGAUGUAUAACCGAAACCAGUCCUCUCCACCGCCUGGGGAUCUUCACUUUCGCAGUCUACGACUGCCUGUGACUCCAGAAAGACAAACUGCAGAUUGGCCAAGAUGGGGAAAUUGAGGCAGAGAAGCCAAGACAUGUGCUAAAGGUCAUGCAGGCUAUGAAUGGAGCUGGAAUGUGAACGCAGGCCAUAUGACCCCAGAGCCCAUGUUCUUGAACCCUUAGAAAGACAGCAGCAACACACCUGGUGCAGCAGCUGCUUAGUUGGAGUGGCUGACAAGAGAUCCUGGCAAAUGGGUGUUUCUUCCCAGAAAGGGAUUUUUCUCCAUGACUGCAGUUGAAUUGCAGAGUUGUAGAGACAUCCAGGUUCUUGUUAGUGUGGACGAACUAUCCAUGAAGAUCUUAAAUGCAGGAGUCUAUGAGAACACCAAUUAAUCAAUUGUCAAAUAUUUGAGUAUCUAUUGUGAGCAAGGCACUGUAUAACCAUUAUGUCAUGUAUUAAUCUAUUGGAAAAUAAUUUGACCUUGGUUGUAUAGUAUUUUGUUUAUUUUUACCUUAAAUUUUGUAACUCUAUUAUAAGUGUUUACAUACCAACUAUUUGAGGGCUG
ensembl:lncRNA HAND2-AS1 HAND2 antisense RNA 1